rnacentral:tRNA from 3 species
GCAUCCGUAGCGCAACUGGAUAGAGCGUCUGGCUUCGGACCAGAAGGUUGCGGGUUCGAAUCCUGCCGGGUGCACAA